rnacentral:rRNA from 1 species
UACGUAGGGUGCAAGCGUUGUCCGGAAUUAUUGGGCGUAAAGAGCUCGUAGGCGGUCUGUCGCGUCUGCUGUGAAAACUCGGGGCUUAACCCCGGGCCUGCAGUGGGUACGGGCAGACUAGAGUGUGGUAGGGGAGACUGGAAUUCCUGGUGUAGCGGUGAAAUGCGCAGAUAUCAGGAAGAACACCCGUGGCGAAGGCGGCUCUCUGGGACGGUACUGACGCUGAGACGCGAAAGCGUGGGGAGCGAACAGG